CUGGGACAUAAUUCACCACGGCCAGAGUGGAUUUGCUGUACGCAGGAGUCAUCCUUCUAACCUGCCAUGUCCAUAGGUCUCUAAGUCCACUGAUGACAGGAAAAUCUUCAGUGGUUCCAGAGACAAGCUGCUGGAAAUCCUGCACAUUUAUCUUCCAGGAGGAAGUGAGCUGGUUAGGAUAGAGGUCCCUUCUGGAAGAACCUCCCCCAAAACUUUAAAGGACUCCAAAUUAAGCCAUGUCCAUUUCUGGGACCCUAAAGUGGCUCAUGAAAGUCAGGGGCCACUUGCUUAAUGUUAGGUGAUUUCAAAAGCCUUAAGAUUCUAAGGGGGGAGUGAAGAUGGGGAAGGUGAGGCUGAAUAAAUUGUGAGAAUCUAUCAAAUAA